GUCGAGGUGGCCGAGUGGGGCAAGGCAUGAGUUUUCAGACUCAAAGGGCACUAGCCCGAUGCAGGUUCAAAUCCUGUCCUCGGCG
ensembl:tRNA